ACUCUGCGCGCCCUCGGCUGCGGGGUAGCGGGCAGCCCUGCGCUGCCGGCCGCCUAGCCUGCACCCCCCGCCCUGGGAGGGAAGCCUCGCUCCAGCCGCGUCGUUUCCGCGCCGAAGUGCGAUCCGGGGCCCCGCGCUGGAGUCCCCUGCUCUCAGGCUGGUCUGGAAGGUGGUGGUGGGGUUCAGGGUCCCCGGAAAGCUGGGGUUCCAGGGUGGCAGUUGCUGGAGUACCAGGGCACCAAGUGGAGGAUGUGGUAGACAGCCUCUAAGAUGCGCCCCCUGCCAAUGAUCUCUGCCUCCAGGGAGGAGCUAGAAGGCAGAGAGAAAGCCACUCAGGACUUCCCAUCCCAGAAGAUAAAGGUGAGGAAAGCAGCAGCAGCAGCCACAGGCCAGUAUUCCAGAGCAGCUUUGGGUUCCUGUCAAGACCUGCUUUGAGAAGGAGGUGGCUGUGGGGCUGGAGGGCUGGGCCUGUUCCUGAGCUGGCUGCUGGCAGCACAGCAAUGAGGCAACAUUGAGAACUGCGACACGAGGCCCAGUCCUGCUACUAAACCAACUGUGUGGACUUGCAUAGUCACUUCACCCCUCGGGCCUCCAUUUCUCCACUUUGGAAAGCAGUGUUGGGACGAUGUUAAGGGUUUGCAACCUUCCAACAUGAAGACUUAUUUUUAAAAGCAAAACAUUUCAAAGAGUCCACAUGACAGUAGUGUUCAUUUUGGCAUCUGUUGAUUUAACAAAUACAAAAUUAGGCUGGGUGUAGUUGCUAACGCCUGUAAUUCCAGCACUUUGGGAGACCGAGGCAGGAGGAUCACCUGAAAUCAGGAGUUCGAGACCAGCCUGGCCAACAUGGUGGAACUCCAUCACUACCAAAAAUACAAAAAUUAGCUGGGCUUGGUGGCACGUGCCUGUAAUCCCAGCUACUCGGGAGGCUGAGGCAGGAGAAUCAUUUGAACCCGGGAGGCAGAGGUUGCAGUGACCUGAGAUUGCACCACUGUACUCCAGCCUGGGCAACAGGGCAAGACUCCAUUAAAAAAAAAAAUACAAAAUUAGGCAUGGUGGUGUUCGUCUGUAGUCCCAUCUAUUUGAGAGGUUAAGGCGGGAGGAUCACUUGAGCUCAGGAGUUUGAGUUUGCAGUGAGCUGUGGUCUGCCUGUGAAUAGCUGCUGCAGUACAGCUUGGGCAACAUAGUGAGAUUCCAUCUCUAGUCUUUAAAAAAAGGAAAAAUACGGCCGGGCGCGGUGGCUCACACUUGUAAUCCUAGCACUUUGGGAGGUCGAGGAGAGAGGAUCACCUGAGGUCAGGAGUUCGAGACCAGCUUGGCCAACAUGGCGAAACCCAUCUCUACUAAAAAUACAAAAAUUAGCUGGGUGUGGUGGCGCACGCCUGUAAUCCUAGCUACUCAGGAGGCUGAGGCAGGAGAAUUGCUUGAACCAGGAGGGAGAGGUUGCAGUGAGCCAAGAUCGUACCACUGCGCUCCAGCUUGGGCAACAUAGAGAGAUCCCAUCUCUAUUUUUUUAAAAAGGAAAAAUACAAGGGAUACCAGAGCACUGGGCCAGUGCUUGUUAUAAAGUCCAUCAAUGGGCCAGGCACGGAGGCUCACACCUGUAAUCCCAACACUUUGGGAAGCCGAAGUGGGUGAAUCAUGAGGUCAGGAGUUCGAGAUCAGUCUGGCCAACAUGGUGAAACCCUGUCUCUACUAAAACUUGGUAGUUUUUUGUAAAAUUAGCUGGGCGUAGUUGUGGGCGCCUGUAAUCCCAGCUACUUGGGAGGCUGAGGCAGGAGAAUCCUUUGAACCCCGGAGGCAGAGGUUUCAGUGAGCCGAGAUCACGCCACUGCACUCCAGCCUGAGUGAAGAGCGAAACUCCGUUUCAAAAAAAUAAAAUAAAAUAAAAAAUAAAAAAAUAAAGUCCAUCAAUGAUGCCAAUAUUAUGGAACAAAAUUUAAAAGCAGGGUGAUGAGUAAUGUUUGUUACUUUUUGGCUACUCAGUUUUGGAGUCCCUUCCCAGGUUUGUGGAAGAUGCCAUCUUAGGAGUCUUCGUGGAAGCUGGAGCCUGUUGCUUAGCCGUCAACAUAGAGGCUGAAAAUGCCAGAUGCUUCUCAGCCUCCUUUAGCUGCAGGGUUUAGUCAUGUGAUCUGGGCUGGGCCCAUCAGGUGCCAUGGACUGAGGAGCCUGGACCAAGCCAGAGCCCAACACAGAACCUUUUCUGGUGGAAGUGGCCAUGGCUACUGCAGCCUUGUCUAGAUUCCAGGGCAACAGCAGCAGGGUCAUGGUUCAGACCCCAGCCAUGGUUGUGGCACAGCUGCCCAGGGCUCUGAGAACAGAGCAGGACUCUCUGGAUAGCUUGUGCACCACAGUUCUGGCCAUGCUCCUGGCUGCUGUCUGGCACCGUUUGUUCUCAUUCAUGCCCUGAACCUGGCUCUUCAGCCUUCCCAGAGACUCUGUGGGCUGCCCAGCAUCCUUCCCAAAAAUCCCUCUUCUGUUUUAAAUUAUCCAGAGCCAGUUUCUGUUGCAUUUUUAAGUCAGAGUUCUGACCAAUUCACAGUCUUAUUUCAGUCUCCGCAUCCAACUUAUUUUUGUAUUUUGCUUUGGUACACACGGUUCUGAGAAAAUUCUAAUCAUACAGAUGGAUGGUUAUAAAUAAUAAUGAUAACAACUAUUACUGGCUGGGCACGGUGCCUCCUGCCUGUCAUCCCAGCACUUUGGGAGGCUAGGGCAGGAGGAUCACUUGAACCCAGGAGUUCAAGACCAGCCUGUGCAACAUAGUGAGACCCCAUCCCUACAAAAAAAAUUUAAAAAAUAGCCAGGCAUGGUGGUGCGGGUCUGUAGUUCCAGCUACUUGGGAGACUGAGGUGGGAGGAUUGCUUGAGCCCAGGAAGUUGAGACUGUAGUGAGCCAUGAUCGCACCACUGCACUCUAACCUGAGUGACAAAGCGAGACACAACAAUGACAGCCACAAAAAAACUAUUACAUAGCACUCACUAUAUGCCAGGCCCUGUCUUAACCA
rnacentral:lncRNA from 1 species